CGGAGUAGUCUAGUAUUUGGUCGUUCAAAAGAUGACUAAGCUUACGACAGACCACUACUUCGACACAUCCACGACACACACUUAAAAUGAAUUUAAGUCAAAUUAAAUACAAUUAAGCAAGAGUGUCUGUCAGGUAUCAGUGAAAGGUGACUACAUAGUAAUGAGCCGUUCAUUGCACAUGAUGACCGCAAGUCUGACUGUAAUCUUACCAAAGACCUCUAUUCCCGCAAGGAAGAGUUGGGGAGGCAUCCUCAAAGAGAGUUGAGUAAUUAGAGAGUAAUUGAUACCUCAAGGAGUGGUGUACCUAAAAGACCGUCAUUGAGAAAUACUUUCCAAAAGAAAGUGGAUAUUAAGGGAAACAAUAAUCCUUAUAAAGGUUCUCACAAAUAGGUGUAAUCUCAGCCU
rnacentral:ncRNA from 1 species